rnacentral:rRNA from 1 species
CCUACGGGAGGCAGCAGUGGGGAAUUUUGGACAAUGGGCGCAAGCCUGAUCCAGCAAUGCCGCGUGAGUGAAGAAGGCCUUCGGGUUGUAAAGCUCUUUUGUCAGGGAAGAAACGGUGGUUCCUAAUACGGACUACUAAUGACGGUACCUGAAGAAUAAGCACCGGCUAACUACGUGCCAGCAGCCGCGGUAAUACGUAGGGUGCAAGCGUUAAUCGGAAUUACUGGGCGUAAGGCGUGCGCAGGCGGUUAUAUAAGUCAGAUGUGAAAUCCCCGGGCUCAACCUGGGAACUGCAUUUGAGACUGUAUGGCUAGAGUGUGUCAGAGGGGGGUAGAAUUCCACGUGUAGCAGUGAAAUGCGUAGAUAUGUGGAGGAAUACCGAUGGCGAAGGCAGCCCCCUGGGAUAACACUGACGCUCAUGCACGAAAGCGUGGGGAGCAAACAGGAUUAGAUACCCUGGUAGUCCACGCCCUAAACGAUGUCUACUAGUUGUCGGGGCUUAAUUGUCUUGGUAACGCAGCUAACGCGUGAAGUAGACCGCCUGGGGAUACGGUCGCAAGAUUAAAACUUAAGGAAUUGACCGG